ACUCCUACGGGAGGCAGCAGUAGGGAAUCUUCCACAAUGGGCGCAAGCCUGAUGGAGCAACACCGCGUGAGUGAAGAAGGGUUUCGGCUCGUAAAGCUCUGUUGUUAAAGAAGAACACGUAUGAGAGUAACUGUUCAUACGUUGACGGUAUUUAACCAGAAAGUCACGGCUAACUACGUGCCAGCAGCCGCGGUAAUACGUAGGUGGCAAGCGUUAUCCGGAUUUAUUGGGCGUAAAGAGAGUGCAGGCGGUUUUCUAAGUCUGAUGUGAAAGCCUUCGGCUUAACCGGAGAAGUGCAUCGGAAACUGGAUAACUUGAGUGCAGAAGAGGGUAGUGGAACUCCAUGUGUAGCGGUGGAAUGCGUAGAUAUAUGGAAGAACACCAGUGGCGAAGGCGGCUACCUGGUCUGCAACUGACGCUGAGACUCGAAAGCAUGGGUAGCGAACAGG
rnacentral:rRNA from 1 species